AGGCAGAGUCUGUGUAUGUGGACACUCACUAUUUGACCCUUUCUUCAGUUUCUCUUGUCUGUCCUCCACAAGCAGAGACUCACUGAUAGACCGCUGUUACCCAUUCUAGGCCUGACACAUCCAAACACGACCACACCGCAAGUGUAUCCUUUACAGGUAUGCAAACGCAUCACAACGGUUUCCUUGGAGGAGACAUUCCUGCGGAAGCUUGAUGAGUACACACCUGGUCUUUUGCGGCUAAUGCGUGCCAAAGGAGGAGCAGCUGGUUGCAAGAUGCGUCCUCUGCUGGACAGUUUAAAUACACAGAACAUUGAGGAAAAAAGAGAUGCUGUUGUCUGCUGCCUCAUUAACUACCUCGGUGAAAGACAAGAAGAUCUUUUCCAUGAAUGGCAGGAAUGUGAGGAGUACACAGACAAAACAAUGAAGGUGAUUGUGAAGCACAAUGUCAUGGCUGAGGAGGACGAUUUGUCUAUUGUGAUCGAGGGAAACCAAGUGAUGGAAGGAUGUGGAAGCCGAACAAAGGCAUGCAUACUGCUGAUGGGACUCAUAUAUGCAAUCAACAUUGAAUAUCCAAAGGAGCUGAAGAACACAUUUGAAGCUUUUCAAAAACUUUUUUUGGAAAUUGAUGGGGCAAAACUUCUGAAGAAAGUCCACAGCCUCAAAAAUAAGCUUAUGCAGUAGACAUUUCUCUCCUUGUUUAAAGGGGAUUCUUUGUUUGGACAUACCUUGAUGGAGUUGUAAUGGACCGUUUUUAUAUUUUUCUUCUCUUCCCUCAUUUGCUCCACAUACAGACACAGACCCAUCCACUGUUUCUCAGCCCUCUCCAUUGCUCUGUGUUUUCCCCCAUAUUGACAGAAAAGGAAUACUAAUAGAUAGUGGCCUGAACAAUUUUGAUCUCACCUACCCUCUUCCCCAUUUGUUUGCUUAUUUCAUUCUGAUCCUAUCUGCGAGAGUGAGAGUAAGGACAAAAAAAAAAUGAUGGUAUUUUGUUUUUCUUUUAUCUUUUUUUAUAUUUAAUAUUGUACAUGCACAGAA
rnacentral:lncRNA from 1 species